AAGUCGUAACAAGGUCUCCGUUGGUGAACCAGCGGAGGGAUCAUUACUAAGCAAGUUGAAAAACUGCUAAACCCUUGUGAAUAUACCUGUUUAGUUGCUUCGGCGGGCAGCCCCAGGGCGGGGCCGCAGCCUUUUAUAGGUGCCCGCCGACAGCAUUAAAACUCUUAUUUUUACAGUUACUCUUGAGUUAUAAAAAUUAAAUAAGUCAAAACUUUCAACAACGGAUCUCUUGGCUUUG
rnacentral:misc_RNA from 1 species